rnacentral:rRNA from 1 species
AGGUGCAAUCAUACCAGCGUUAAUGCACAGGAUCCCAUCAGAACUCCGCAGUUAAGCGCGCUUGGGCUAGAGUAGUACUGGUAUGGGUGACCACCCGAGAACUCCUAGUGUUGCACCCU